CGAUUGGCUGAAGUAGGACUGAAUGAACUUGUAGGCUCUAAAGUUUUAUAUUUUUAUUUUUGAAUGCAGUUUUUUUUUUACAUAAUUCUACAUUUGUAAGUUCAACUUUCAUGACAAAGACAUUGUAGUACAGUACUUGUAGUAGGUGAACUGAAAAAUACUAUUUUUUUACAGUACAAAUAUUUAUCAAAAAUAAAUAUAAAGUGAGCACUGAACACUUUGUAUUCUGUAUUGUAAUUGAAAUCAAUAUAUUUGAAAAUGUAGAAAAAAAUCCAAAAAUAUUUAAAUAAAUGAUAAUCUAUUAUUUAACAGCACAAUUAAUCGCAUGAUUAAUCGUGAUUAAUUUUUUUAAUCAUGCCAUUAAUCGUGAUUAACUUUUUAAUCGCUCAACAGCCUUAGUUUAAACUCCUUAUUCAACAUCCUUUCUCCUACAAUCUGCAGGUAGGUAUAAUAUGUAGGUAUUCUCUUACAAUCUGCAGCCUCUGAGAGAUUUGUCUGGUCGAGCUUUCUCUUUAUAUCUUUUGGAUAAGGGGUCGAUAAAGUUAAGCCAUUUUGGUAGCAGCCCUAACUUUGGGAGUGCCAGUUACCAGGAAUGGGCCUAUUGUCUCUGCAGGGAAAGAGUCUGAAGUUUCUGUCCACUAAAAGUCAAGUGAAAAGAUGUUUGUAUUUCAGAUUCUGCAGGUAGUCUUUAGCAAUGACUGUAAUGGUUUUGAGGUAGUUUUGGUUGAUAUCAGGUAGGUUGUGUUCCAAAGUUAAUGUCAAAAUGGUUUAACUUCUGUGGAUACUGAUGCAUUUAAUUCAAAACUAGAUGAGAUGGGGAGAAGUUAGACUAACAGGUCUGUGAUUAAAGUUGCUGGGGUUGCCUUGAGCAUCUUUCAGAAGGAAGCACUCCUCCUUAGAGUCCUGAGGUAUACCACCACCAUUAUUUUCUGGGGUUUCUCAGACUCGGUUGAAGUCCUAGGUUAGACAUUCUGGAAAAUCCUUUUUUAGCCAUCUGACAAAUAUCGUUAGCUUCAAAUUUUUCAGCUUCUGUUUCAGCUCUUUCAGAGCAGCAGUUUUGAAAGUGCAGGAGGACCUCAAAACAGUCCCUGACUUCUGCACAGUUUAGGACCAUUUGUGCUGAUAUUUUUAGGCAUAGAAGUUAGCCUCCAAGUGGUUGGAUCCUCGCAAUCAUAGACUAGGUGAUCCUGUUGGAAUUCUGCACCAAAAAAAUAAAAAUUCUAUUCACAGUAUUUUGAAAUUCUGCAAAUUUUAUUUGUCAGUAAAUAAAUGUGGAGGCUCCAGCAUGGCAGUGAGGGAGCGCAGGCCACUGGCUACAUGGAGAUGGAAGAUCACCUUGUAGUGCUCUCUUCCUCUUCCCCAGACACGGACUCAGUGGUGAGGCUGAACUCGCCUGCCCCAGAAACAUGUCGGGGGCCCUUCCCUUCUGUGCCUGGCACAGUAAGUAUGGGCAGGCAGGCUCAGCCCAGCAGGAUCCAAGUACAGUAACUCCUCACUUAACGUUGUCCCGCUUAACAUUGUUUCGUUGUUACGUUACUGAUCAAUUAGAGAACAUGCUUGUUUAAAGUUGCACAAUGCUCCCUUAUAACGUCGUUUGGCAGCCACCUGCUUUAUCCACUGCUUGUAGAAAAAGCAGCCAGUUGGAGCUAGCUGGUGGGGGGCUUGGAACCAGGGGUGGACCGGCAGCCCCCCUGUCAGCUCCCCUAAGUUCCCUGUGCAGCAGCCUCCCCGGCAGGCUAUAAAUUUGUGGGCAGUUCAGCUGUCCCUCCCCCCACUGCUGUGUGCUGCUCUUGCCCUCUGCCUUGGAGCUGCUCCGGGGAGCCUCCUGCUUGCUGUGUGGGGGGCAGGGGCGAGAGGGGUGCUAAUGUCAGGGUGUUCUCCGCUCCUGUACCUCAUCUCCACAGAGCAGAGGCGGGACACGACAGGGCUGAGGACGGAGCUUACUGGCAGCAGCUGCUGUCUCAACUUGCUGAUCUACUUAAAAAGGCAAUGUACUUAGAGUGGGGUCAACGUACUUAAAAGGGAAAUGUGCGUCUCUCUCACACACACACACUGCCAUGCUGUGUCUCCUCCCUCCAUUCCUGCUGCCUUGUAGAGUGUGAGGCUACAAUUAACAACAAUGUGUUAGCCCUUGAGGGUUCAGCCGAGUGCUAGUUCAUCAUUUAACAUUCAGGCAUUCCCUGGGAAAUACCCCACCCUCUGACUCCACAACCUCAACCAAGCUUCACAAUCAUCAUUAUUGUGUACAGUAUUAAAUUGUUUGUUUAAAAUUUAUACUGUGUGUGUAUCAGAGGUGCAAGUAAGCCAGUACGGUCCAGUGUGGCAAGAGCCGGUACACCGUGCCAGACCGGACCAGCUUCCCCAGGCUGGCGAUUUAAAGGGCCCAGGGCUCCCUGCAGUGGCCGAAGCCCCGGGCCCUUUAAAGCGCUGACAGAGCCCUGGGGUAGUGGCGGCAGGGCUCCGGCGGUGACUUAAAGGGCCAAGGUCUCCCAGCUGUGGAGCCCCAGGGCCUUUAAUACCUGGGCCCUUUAAAUCAUGAUUUAAAGGCCCCACCUCUUCUGGUUGAGGCCAUACCCCCUGCUCAGACCGUUAAGUCCUUUAAGUCCUUUAAAGUUACUUUCACCCCUGGUGGGGGUGUGUGUGUGUGUGUAUAUAUAUAAUAAUAAAAAUUCCCUGGAACCUAAACACCCCCCCACACACAUUAAUUCUUAUGGGGAAAUUGGAUUCACUUAACAUCAUUUCAUUUAAAGUAGCAUUUUUCAGGAACAUAACUACAACAUUAAGUGAGGAGUUACUGUAUGGAGGGUCUUGGUGUGGGGGAUCCAUGUGCGGCAAUCUGGGUGCAAGUGGCCCAGUAGAGGGUCCAAGUGCGAGAGGGAUCUGGAUGCACAGGGGCUCGUUGGGGGGGAGAUCCAGGUGUGGGGGCAAUGGGAUUCUGCAGGGGGGUCCAGGUGAAGGUAGUUGGGGCUCAGCGGGGUGCGGGGGUGUCCAGGUGCUGGGGGGAAUGGGGCUCGGUGCAGUGGGGGUCCAGGUGUGGGGGGCUCAUCAGGGUGGUCAAGGUGCAUAUGGGUUGGGUCUCGGUUGGGUGUGGUUUGGGUGCAGGAGGCUCGGUGGGGGGUGGUCUGGGUGCAGGGGCGGGGUCUGGAUUGGGGGGGCGCUCAGGUGGUUCUGGGUGCAGGGGUUGAGGCUCAGCAGGGUCUGAAUACACAGGGGUUGGGUGGAUGGGGGGGUGAUCUCUCCUCCUGCAGCUGAGGAGUGAUGGGGGCAGGAAGCGGGGAUGGGGUGCAGAGCCAGGGGAGGUUUCUGGAGGUGGAUCUGCCCCAGCUGCUCUGUGCAGGGGAAAUGUGCUCCUCCCCCAGCCCAGCCGGGACUAGUACCUGGGCCCAGCGUAGGGUAGGAGCCACUGGGUGGGGCUGGGGAGGGCUAGAUACAGGGGGGCUCUGGAUGCAGGGGGUAAGGCUUGGCAGGGUGGGGGUUCUGCACUGCCCGAAAUGACAUACCUGCACUGCUGGGGAGGGGCAAGUGACUGCUCUUGCAGCUUCCCUUUUGCUUCCCUGUCAGUCAUUUUUCUGAGAGGAAGCAAAGAAAUCUGCGAGGGACAUGAAUUCUGCAGAAUUCCCCCAGGAGUAAAUAGGACAAUGAGUCAGUGGAUUGUGUUUUGGUUUUUGGGCAGCUCUGUUAUAACUUUACUGGAUUUUCAGUGUCAGUAAGUCUUAGGGUCCUAUGUGGAGCCACAAAAUAAAGCUAGACAACACUCUUCAGGUGAUUAUUUAUAACAAGUAACUAUCAAACCCAAAACAGUAUUCUGUCCCUUUUAAGGACUAAGGCAAACAACCCCAGCCCUCUAACAGGAUUACACAAAUGAGGGGAACAGAAGCUAUGCAUAGCUCACCUGCCUGACAGCACUAGAGCUCCCAGCCCAGAAGCAUCUUUUUAUUUCUUUCCCCACCCCGUGGAAUGUCUUCUGCUCCCUUUUUGAAGGAGACUGGAGGCCACUGAUUCUCUCUGUGCUGCUAACCCUACAUUAUUCCCUUGUAGUUCCCUGCAGUAGAGCAUGCAGCUGUGGUCCUUUUCUUCAGAAACCAGACUAACCCUCUCCUGACUUCCUAAGGGAUGACAGACCCCUUGUACUAAAGAAGUAUCAACUGUGGCGUGCUUCUUCAUAGAAGAUGACAGUGCUGCUAGUCAGAGUUCAGUCACACUUUACAAAGCAUUGUAUCAACUCUGAAUCCAGAUUGGAUCCUCAGUUUGGGAAAGUGCUCCAGGUCUUCUUAAUUAGCACUCAGCUUUUCUGCUGAGGAUUGUUGCUGCUUCUGCAGAGCUUAAUGGAUCCCAAUGAAGAGUAAUAAGUAUUGUCAUGAAGGAGAAAAGUUAUUUGCCAGUAACUUGUUCUCCAAAUGUAUUGCUCUGCAGAUCAACAGACUUUCCUCCUCCCCUCUCUUUAGGAGUUAAUGCGUUUCCUGAAGUAAAGAGGAACUGAAGGAUUUUAGGGGUCAGCACUCCAAAAUCCUAAGGCCUUGUCUACACUACACAGUUUUGUCAACAAAGGUCAGCUUUUGUCAAUAAAAGAGUGGAGGUAUACAUGCUGAAACACUCCUCCUGCCAAUGUAACUCCCCUGCUAUGCCGACAUAAUAAAACCACCUCAACGAGGGGUGUUGGGCUUACAUCAGUAUUGAUAGGGCGGCGCAGUGUCUGCGUAGAUGCUGGGAGCCGGGGCAAGAAUGGACCCCGUACUCAGCUGGGAGCCCUGGGCGGCUUCCCCCCCUCCCAGCAGGGCAGCCAGGCUCCCGGCAGGGAGCCGUCAGCAGAACCGAGAGACCAGGCUUUCCGCUCCCCACACUCCCCCUCGUAGGUCGGUGAAAACACUCCUGGUGAGGACACGCACCACUGACCCAAGGAGGGUAGUGUGAACGUCAGUCACCACAGUAAUUAAUGCAGUAGCUCUAAGUCAACCUAAUAUAGGUCGACUGUAUGCUGCACUGUAUGCUGGAAAUCAGAUGUACAUAUUGUAAUGCUGUUGACGGUUUUAGCCUUCACUAGAAACAAAAUGUUACCUGUGUGCCUAACUUUAAAACUCAGAGAGGGGAAACUGAAUCAUGGUUCUUCUACAUUGAUGGCUUGCAUGUGACACCGAUAAGACAGCUUAAUUUGUUUCUUGUGUAAAAUAAUAUAGUAUAUUCAGCUGGGAAUUUGAGAAGUUUUAAAAAAAUAAAUCACUCUGAAAUAACUUAACUUAGAUUCUUCAGAAUCCGAGAGAAAAUACUGAUUACCAAAAAAAAAAAAAGAGAGAGAGACAAGAAUUCUUAUCAGCUAUAGAUAAAAAUCAGUU